rnacentral:rRNA from 1 species
CUGCUGCCUUCCGUAGGAGUUUGGGCCGUGUCUCAGUCCCAAUGUGGCCGUCCACCCUCUCAGGCCGGCUACUGAUCGUCGCCUUGGUAGGCCGUUACCCUACCAACUAGCUAAUCAGACGCGAGUCCAUCUCUCAGCGAUAAAUCUUUGGUAUCCAUACCAUGCGAUACAGAUACGUUAUGCGGUAUUAGCAGUCGUUUCCAACUGUUGUCCCCCUCUGAAAGGCAGGUUACUCACGCGUUACUCACCCG